rnacentral:rRNA from 1 species
GAUGAACGCUAGCGGGAGGCCUAACACAUGCAAGCCGAGCGGUAUUGUUUCUUCGGAAAUGAGAGAGCGGCGUACGGGUGCGGAACACGUGUGCAACCUGCCUUUAUCUGGGGGAUAGCCUUUCGAAAGGAAGAUUAAUACUCCAUAAUAUAUUGAACGGCAUCGUUUAAUAUUGAAAGCUCCGGCGGAUAGAGAUGGGCACGCGCAAGAUUAGCUAGUUGGUGAGGUAACGGCUCACCAAGGCGAUGAUCUUUAGGGGGCCUGAGAGGGUGAUCCCCCACACUGGUACUGAGACACGGACCAGACUCCUACGGGAGGCAGCAGUGAGGAAUAUUGGUCAAUGGGUGCAAGCCUGAACCAGCCAUCCCGCGUGAAGGACGACUGCCCUAUGGGUUGUAAACUUCUUUUGUAUAGGGAUAAACCUACCCUCGUGAGGGUAGCUGAAGGUACUAUACGAAUAAGCACCGGCUAACUCCGUGCCAGCAGCCGCGGUAAUACGGAGGGUGCAAGCGUUAUCCGGAUUUAUUGGGUUUAAAGGGUCCGUAGGCGGACUUAUAAGUCAGUGGUGAAAGCCUGUCGCUUAACGAUAGAACUGCCAUUGAUACUGUAAGUCUUGAGUAUAUUUGAGGUAGCUGGAAUAAGUAGUGUAGCGGUGAAAUGCAUAGAUAUUACUUAGAACACCAAUUGCGAAGGCAGGUUACCAAGAUAUAACUGACGCUGAGGGACGAAAGCGUGGGGAGCGAACAGGAUUAGAUACCCUGGUAGUCCACGCCGUAAACGAUGCUAACUCGUUUUUGGGCUUUAGGGUUCAGUGACCAAGCGAAAGUGAUAAGUUAGCCACCUGGGGAGUACGCUCGCGAGAGUGAAACUCAAAGGAAUUGACGGGGGCCCGCACAAGCGGUGGAUUAUGUGGUUUAAUUCGAUGAUACGCGAGGAACCUUACCAAGACUUAAAUGGGAAUUGACAGCUUUAGAAAUAGAGCUUUCUUCGGACAAUUUUCAAGGUGCUGCAUGGUUGUCGUCAGCUCGUGCCGUGAGGUGUUAGGUUAAGUCCUGCAACGAGCGCAACCCCUGUCACUAGUUGCCAUCAUUCAGCUGGGGACUCUAGUGAGACUGCCUACGCAAGUAGAGAGGAAGGUGGGGAUGACGUCAAAUCAUCACGGCCCUUACGUCUUGGGCCACACACGUAAUACAAUGGCCGGUACAGAGGGCAGCUACACAGCGAUGUGAUGCAAAUCUCGAAAGCCGGUCUCAGUUCGGAUUGGAGUCUGCAACUCGACUCUAUGAAGCUGGAAUCGCUAGUAAUCGCGCAUCAGCCAUGGCGCGGUGAAUACGUUCCCGGGCCU